AUUGAACGCUAGCGGGAUGCCUUACACAUGCAAGUCGAACGGAGUGGCGAACGGGUGAGUAAUGUAUCGGAACGUGCCCAGUAGCGGGGGAUAACUACGCGAAAGCGUAGCUAAUACCGCUUAAUAUUGGAGCGGCCGUGUGCGGAUUUGCUAGUUGGUGGGGUAACGGCUCACCAAGGCGACGAUCCGUAGCUGGUUUGAGAGGACGACCAGCCACACUGGAACUUGGCCACGGCCCAGACUCCGACGGGAGGCAGCAGGGGGGAAUUUUGGACAAUGGGUGAAACCCUGAUCCAGCCAUCCCGCGUGUGCGAUGAAGGCCUUCGGGUUGUAAAGCACUUUUGGCAGGAAAGCGGUACCUGAAGAAUAAGCACCGGCUAACUACGUGCCAGCCGCCGCGGUAAUUG
rnacentral:rRNA from 1 species